rnacentral:tRNA from 1 species
GGUUCCAUAGUGUAGCGGUUAGCACGUCUGCUUUACACACAGAAGGCCUGGGUUCAUGCCCCAGUGGAGCCA